UUCUCCCUCGAUUCCAUUACUUAAUGCAUCGUAAAUUAUGCAAAUGUGGAGUGAAACAAGAGGAAUUAUUAAAACGCGCCUAUCUCUAACCUCGCGGACAUUACCGGGGGCAGGGCGGCCGCCCCCGAUAUUCGGGGUGGGUUGACUGUGAUGCGACACAUGUGACAUCCGCCUCUGAGUAAUGUAAACACAUAAAUGUUUCCCCCGAAUUUGCAUAUUCUCAACCCGCAAAAACACGAUUAAAAUCAGGUGGCGGCGGCUUCAACGGUCGCCGGUUUAGGAUUUCGGCCUAUAAUUGAUGCAAAAAGGUCACGAGGAAUCUUGACACAGUUCGUUUGGUGCAUUUUUUGUGCGUGUAAAUAAUGGAAUGGUGUCAUAUUCUGGGGUGAAGGGUUACCUGAACACAAUGAAAAACACCCUGAAGACAGACUUGGGGUGACGCGCAUAUAUUAUUAUGGGGUGGGAAAGGGUUGAAAAAACUAUGCAAAAAAGGGAGCCCGGAUACACAUUGUUGCGGAUCUGUCCGGAUGGCAUAAUAUGCAAAAUUCCCCUUAUUUGCCGGAACAACUAAGGGACCCAUUUUAAUAUAUGAGAUUCUCGCUUUGUUAACGUGUAUGAAUGCUUAACUAGAUGUAUUCACGGACACGAAUGCGACUGUCAUAACUGAACGGUUAUCAAUGAAGAAUUGAUGGUUUUGGCACACCCAGUGCGCACACAAACCAUAAACCCGAAAAACAUAAAUUCAAUCGGCUUUGUGCACAUCAGACGCUCCAGAUGAUGCGAAACCGGCGAAAAACUUUGAGCCCGACCUAGGCCACGACCGAUUUAUAAGGGAAAUAAUUAGGCAAAAUCUCGCACCAUCUCAAUCACCGGGAGCGACAAUUUGCUUAAUCGUGCGAAAAAUCUGCCACUAACCUGAAAACAGGCUCAAGUUUAUCUUUGAGAUUGUUCGUCGGGAAUUUAAAACUCCGCUAAACCUUGGCGGCGCAAGAGCAAACAAUAAUUAUAAAAUAAAAGCUAACCUGUAGAAUGCGCAUCUAAUCUCUUCUUUGUUUACAUUCAAUAAGUCAAGUUUGAAGGUAGCAAACACUCAAAGUCGCCCCUUUACUUCCUACCCAUGUUUACUAUUACUUUUUUAUUACUUGCUCCUGUACCGAAUUGAGCCGCCUCAUACAAUGACGGGAUUAAAUACUCAUCCCAUUGAAACACACAUGAUGGAUUAUACGGCCUGGCAUCGAGCUACUAUCCUGCCAUCAUUUGCGGUUAUAUUCGCUCCUGACAUCGGCGUUAAUUCAAUUUUCGAUCGAGAUAACAUCACGGGACGGUUGCGUUCUGCCAGGGAGGAAAUUUCAAAUGCUCGAAUUUUGUUUCACACAGAGUAGUUAGGACGUAAAAAUGGAGAUGCAAAGCAGAGGGAAGUUAUGCAAUUACGGCGGUGUUUUCGCCAAACUAGAGCCUGAUACCGGGAUAAACACGCUACUAGCCUCAACAAAUAAACUAUGAAACAAUAAAAGCUUCCCUAUUAAAGUUAGUUAAUUGACUCGUAGUCGUUUAAAACUUCGCUUGUUAGCCGAAAUUAAAAAAGUUCCUAAUUAGUCAUUUUUACAGCAAAACAAACAUGUCCCUUUUGACGUAAGUAUUUUACCAUUAAUUAUAAAAUUCAACUUCAUAUAGCCCCAAUUUAGCCCAGACGUUCCAGUAAUUAAUUGUCUCCAUCACGGACUUAACAACUGAAAGUGGCUCUUAAAAUUAAAUUUUAACACUGUAGAUUAGGACGUCCUUUCACUAACAGCAUCGUUAAUAAUUAAUACUUGAAUAAAGUGCCGAAAAUUACUAAUAAGGUGAGGAUUUGGCUCUUUGUGUGUUGACGAAUGGCUCAAAAAAGUGGCAUUAAUCUUGUAAACUGCCUUUUGAUUUUAUGGAUGGUUUUGUGUUAUGAAUGUUUGUUGGAUCAAUCUGAGUAUGGGAGUGGAGCGUCAUUUCCUGUAAGGGAAUAGGUUUGUAGAAAAAUUCAAAUCAAACGGCGCAGUUGAAAAGUUUAAUGCGAACACAUGUAGAGAAUAUGCAAUAAAGUUGUCAUCUGUGAGAAACACGGAAACAAAGUAUCAAAUAAAGUUGUUGACGCGUUUCAUGUGCCUCGAUAUUUCCAUACAUAUCUGUCGACAAAUUAUAUUUACGUUUAAAUCGAAUCCUUAUCGCGUGCAUGAACCGCCUGACGUAUUCACAUCUCAAUCCGUCUAAAAUCAAGUCAACUUUAUAUCCGAUUAUGUCUCAAAUAACUCGGUUUCAUGUAAAACGUACUUAUUCGGAGUCUAGGAGCGAAAAUCCAUAGUGCAAACCCCAGGUAGACGAUUUCCAACGCUCGGCUAGUUCUUUUUAUCGCCCGAAAUGAAUCCAGUUAGGCCAAAUCAAGGGUCGCUCCUCCCGUGCAAAAACAUAAUUAAUUUCCAACAACACUAUUCCGGCCCUGGCCGCUUUUCAAUUUGAGGGGAGGCGGAAGCUUUUCCGACUACAUGUUUUCCUCGCAUAAAAUAAAAUCAAUCGCCGGGUCACGUGCAGCUAACGUUUUAGGUUUGUGAUAUUUUACUUUAGUCCCGAGCGUCGAGCUUCUUAUUAUUCAGAAGACGUAAGUACAAGGGGACCCCUCAUAAAGGGCCCGGAAUCAAGCCCAACGCCCUCCCACACCAACGAUCGGUAACUUCAUCGGCAUUCAACGUGUUGUAUCGCACAGAAUUAUUAAUUAAACCCUUCAACCCUUCGCUCCCCGAUCGAUGGGCAAAUCUUCGUGUGAAAAAUUGAAUAUGCAUUAUCCCUUUACCUGUACUAUUGAACCCAAUCACCGGAAACGUAUGCAAAAGUAUUGAAUGGAUCCGAGGGUGAAAUAUCGGGGUGCUGCAUAUGCAACAUCUUAAAGACUCGCACGACACUCGAUCGGUUAUUUUAUUAUACCUCCGCACACCAAAUAAAUUAUAGAUUAUUCAAUUCAAUAGAUUUCACACGGAGUAACCGACAUUCACAACCGAACUCGCUCCGAAUUCGCAAUUUCUUUAUUUAAAAUUUAAACAAACAUUUGUGGUUUACUAUUGAUUGGCUUGCUUCCAUU